ensembl:lncRNA
UCUCAACUGGUCUUUUGUGUAAACAGAUUAAUAAUUGCUAGAAAAAGAGAACUUAAUUCUUAAAUUUCCUUGGUGGGUUAUCCCUGGCUAGGAAUUACCCAUAGGAAAAAGAACCCAGGAUCUAGAAGUUUCACUGGAGAAUAUCAUGCAAAUCACGUAGUUCUCUGGGGUGUAAUUGAAUCAUCUUGGAUUUGAAAUACCCCUAACUCUGAAGCACUUAAGAAUGUCAUUCAGAGACCUUCUGUACUUUGGACUAAAAGGACAUACCAAGCUCAAGCUAAAAGGACAGCAGAAGCUGAGGAGCUACAGUCAGUAUAUUAUUUGGGUUGGGGUAUUGGAGAAAGACCACAGGAAGACACAGGAGGACAAUAUUCAAGGAGAAAAAUCCUCGGGAAAGAUAUGGCUCUAGUCACAUUAAAAUUGAAUCUGUAUUACUUGGGGAUUUUAUUAGAGUGUGGAUUCAUAUUCAGUUAAUCUUCUAUAGAGCUGGAGCCUGUAUUUCCAAUGAGUUAUAAGAUAUAAAGGCUAUCUGCACCAAGGCAUCAAUGAGAAGCAAUGGUCAGAAAUUUUGUUCAAGUAAAAGAUGGUUUGUUCUUCUGAGGACUAUGUGAUAAAAGAAUUUUGGGAGAGAGGAAGAUGCUGGAGAUUUGAUAAUCCAUCUCUGAGACUGGGACAGUGAACUCACCUGGGCUAUAUACAUCAGAAUCACAGAGAAUGCUGUUGAGAUAAGAAGUCGCAAAUGUAAAGUAAGUCUAAACAACACAGUUGUGUUUGCUUUCUACAGGCACUGAGCAAAAUGAAUGUGGGCAAGGUGUGAGAAAUUUUUUGGGGGGUACCGGGGAUCAAAGUUGGGUCCUUGCGCUUGUGCAGCGGGCGGCAAAAUCACUGAGCUAAAUCCCCGGCUCUAAGGUGUGAAAAAUUUAAUGAAGACUGAGUUGUUAUUUUCAAGUUAGUAUAGGUAAGAGAAGUGCAAGGGAGUUUUUGUUUUAAAAUAGGAAAGAUUUGUGAGCCAGGAAUCUGAACUGGAAAAAAAGAAAAUAAGACAAUAAACGGACUGAUGGCCAGCAGAAAAAUAAUACUAUUAAUGGAUUAGUGUCUCAAUGGGUUGAUAGUUAUAGGAGUAGGAUUAAUGAUGACAGGGAGUGACCUAGAAAGACAGAAAUUGGUGUUUAGAGAUGUGAACCCGUCUACAAUGUAAGAUCUUUGAAAUACAGAAAAAUAUUAUAAUUUAGCUACUACAGUCAUAUGCAUCUUAACCUACCAUUGGAACUGGCUGCAUUAAGGGGGAACUUUCUUUACCAUACUAAUAAUUUAGGCAAGUGAUCUGUAAUAUAAGCUGCUGAGUGAUGGAAAAUUUGAACUUUGUUUUCAAAAUGACAUUUUUAAGAUUUAUCCUCUCAUGUAAAAGGCUCUUCCCUGUAAAUUUGCAAUUAAUGUAACUUUAACAACCUAAUUUUUAAUUCUGAAUAUUUUUAGUAUAAAAGUUUAAGGGAUUUGUAUGAAAAAUAACACUGUUAUCACUAUAUAGGACGCCACUAUAUCUUGAUACAUACAUCUGAAGUCUCUUAUUAGGAGAUAAUUUAACAACUUUCUGCACAUUUGAGAUAAUGGUUUAGUCAGUGUGUUAUAAAUGCAAAGUAGUUCUUGGACCUGAUUUUAUUUCUUCUGCAUAAUUUCAUCGUAGUCUGUAUAAUUUACCUUUUGACUCUGGAUAAACGCACACAACUUUUAUAAAUUUAUAAGUUGCAAAAGCAGUACAUUUUAAGAAAAUCUUUGCAGUAACCCUCAAUUUUGCUGUAAUGUACAUGCAUAUUACAUAGAAAUGUUGAACCUUGUGAAAUAUUGAGGUUACUGGAAUUUAAAGAUGUUAUGGUGUUAUCACUUAUUUAACAUAUGCAUUUACAUGUACUUAUAUGUAUGUGUAUGUGAAAAUUGUUAAUUUUAUGGAAAAUAGAUGGCAAGUUCAUUGAACUAGCUUGUUUUGGAAAAGAUUCUGUGUAUGUUUUCUCUGUAUACUAGCAAAAUAGCUUAGUUUUAUUUGAGGGAUAAAUAAAAACUAAAUGUAAAUUCACGUUUAUUGUAAGUCCCUAAAUGACAUGCCCUUUCAUCAAUAUAAUUUAAAUAUUUGGGAAUCAUAACAAGUUCUUGGCACUAGCUUGAUCUUGUGGUGUUAUAAUGUAUGUUUUUUAUACAAACAGAUGUUUUUAUAUGAUUACAUUUGUAGUAGUCAUAUGGUUGGAUGUAGUUUAGCAAGUAAAAAAACCUUAACAUUGUCAACUAGUACCUUGUGAAUAACUUCAAUGGAUUUUAAAAUGUUUUCAGGAAUACAUGUAAUUCUAAAGUAUAUUAAAUUUCUAAAAUACAUAUAAAUAAUUUUUAUAAAUAUGUAGCAAAUGUAUCAUACAUCUACAUUUCUUUCUGACAUUCAGAAAUCUACUGUCUCACUACAAAAAAUAGGAACUCCAAAGGCCAAUUUGAGGCAAUAAUGAUAUAGAAAUUUGGAUUUCCCUUCUAUGAAGGUUUUGAUAUUCUUUUUGACCUUGAUUUGAUUGUUUAAUCUAUGAUUCUGGCUUUUCUGUGUUUUACUAUAUAGUUGAAUAUUCGUAUUUUAAGGUUGAGAAAAAAGGACUCUGAGAAUCACUGUUUUCCAGAGGAAGAAACUAGUGCACACGGACCAAGGCUUGCUGAAGUGCCACGUCAUGAGGAAAGGACAGACUGAACUGAAAUUCUGACUUCCAGUCAUGUGUUCUUUCAUGUCAAGGUGCAGUAGGCCUGACGUAUUAGAGGGGUACACUGAAGGGAUUUGAUCAACAGGAAGUUUGCUGCGAAAGGAAAGCAAGAGCAGUAUGACUUUCUGCUGGAGAAAAAGCAAAAUACAAUGCAGUGUUUCUCUCAGUUUGGAGGGAAAAAGAAUGAAUGAAAUAUAGAUAACUUUAAAAGAGCAUCAUAUAAGGCUGGUAUCACAUCAAUCCAUAGUGUUUAUUUUGUACAAGCUGGUGACAUUUAGAGGGAACUGAGAGUUCCAGCAGUUUUCAGUAGGUGGUCAGCUUGACAUUUCUGUAUAAUGUCUCACUGGGCUAAUAAAACCUGUCAAUUCCUGCUGCUUCCAUUUUCAUUUUAUUCUUUCUGUUCAUUUAAAGUAACAAUUUAGUAAAUCAUAGUAUAUAGGCAAGUGCUAAAGCCAAGUGUUUAUACAUACUAAAAUUUUUUAAGCCUGAAAUUUUUUACCUAACAGAUGGAAGAAUUGUGAGCAAUUUUGCUGGAACUCUGUAGCUUUAUUUUUUUUUUUAAUUUCAUUUGUUAACAUUUAAAUAUUCAGUUUAUGUCCAAUAAAACAAUCAUAUUUUAAAAUAAGCCCCACAGUUAUUAUCAAAACAGAUUCGUGUGGUUUGGCAACUAGCAAAUAAUGUGGACAUCUGUUACUGAGAAAAUAAACCAAAAUAAAUUGAACCAUAGUGAAUGUUGUUGUAAUUUGAUAAUUAAUUGAUAUUUUAAACUACAAGUUUAUACUACCUAACAUCAGCUGGACCUUUGUAAUUAUGUCUAAUUUACAGCAAGUUAUCUCUCCCACAGAUUUAUUUCUUGUUUCAGUGAUUCUUCAAAUUUUUUAAACCCCAAAGCAUAGAACCACCAUUCAGCUCAGUAUUAUCUUUCUUGAAAAAUUACCCAGUUCUCUGUAUUUAUGUAAAUUGUUGUAAUCCAGGUUGCUCUUUCAUUUUAUUAUCUCUUCUUUUGCAUUUUAAUUCGUUUUGGUUCCUUCCUACCGCUGAGGAAGCAGGUGAGAGUCUUCACGUGUUACUUGUGUCUAUCUUUACUUUGAAUUCCACGUUCCCUCAGAGGAGGAGAUUUUUAUAUCAAUUGUCUCUUUUUUGAAAGUGUGAUUGAGGUAGGCAUCGGCACCUCCUCUUGUUUGGGGGUUUGAGACUGCAGGGCCAACACUGCUUGUUCCCAUCCAAGUCCAGAGACUUCAGUUGUACCUUCUGGUUAUGUAAGACCUGGACCUGUUUGGAGAGUGUGUGAGUAUCUUAAAACAUUAAAGAAGGUUUCCAAUGGAGGAGUAGGAAAGGAAUUUAUCCUCCAAGACAGUGGUAUUUGCAUUUGAAUGGGGAAGGAUCAUACACAGGUAUUCCAUAAGGAAAGCAAUUAAUCUAUUUUAAAAUACAACGUAUGUACCUUUGCUCUUUGUUUUAUUGUUCUUUUCGUCUUUUCAUGCGUCAAGGAUUCCUCUGAAAUGCUGCAUCAUCAAUGACAGUAACAACAAAGGAAAGACCUUCAACUAUUUGAAGAAUUAACCUGUUUCUUUCCUUUUCUGCAAUCCAAUUUUUUAAAAAAGAAUUCUAUUUAUUGCCUACAUUCUUUAGGUCUCUAAUAUUUUUCAGCUUGCACCUAGAUAACCCUUUAUUUCACCACCAAUAUUUUGAACUAUCACCAACAUGAUAACAUGUAUGACCUAGUUUUCUACUACCAUUCCUACAAGAAAAUACCUAUAUCCUGAUUCAUUCAUACUGAAAUAUUCCCUGUAUAGUGAGGUUUCUCCUAGUCAAGGUUAAUUUCUGCACUUAAUCUCUGUCUCCUCCCUUCUCCAUCCCCAGGGCAUUCCAGCAUCAAUUAAUUCAUUUUUCUGGGGCCUGGGGUUUAGCUUAGCAGCACUGUGCAUACCUCACAAGCACAAGAUCCUGAGUUCCAUCCCCUGUACCAAAAAAAAAAAAUCUCUCCUUGGCCUUUUGGCUAAGAUCAAACGUAAUUCUUUUUUCUGUCUUCAAAUUCUAGUUCUCUCUACUAGGUCCUUGACUUUUGUAUAUAAAUAGUGGAAGUCUUAAUAAAAGAACAAUGUCACUCAAUCUAAGUGUUUGUUUCCGCUAUUGCCUCACUGUUUUUUCUCAUAUAGUACUUUUAAAAUUUUUCAUUCAUUGCUAAGGUAGAUAUUUAUUGAGUGCCUACUAUGUGCUAAACACUAUUUUAAGCACUAAAAAUAUGUAGCAAACAUCAUUGAAAAUCCACCUCUUCAAGGCGCUGUUAGCCUUGUAGGAGGAGAUGAUGUAAACAACUGAAAUAUAUAGUAUGGGAAAAGGUAAUAAGCACCAGAAUGAAAAAAAGAGCGAAAAGUGGGAAAAAAGCUUAAGACAUGCUUGGGGUCCUUUUAAAUCCAGAGCUCAGAAAAUGCUGAGCAGCCUCUUGAAUGACACCAGUGAGUUAGUUCUAUACUUCCAUGAAGACAUCACCAAAGACACUAAGCACUCCUCCUUAGUAAUUCCUUCUUUAUUUGACUGUUCCAACCAUUUGAGACUCUAACCUGUCAGGACAUGGCAAGCUUACCUUGGAUUGUGUUAGUUACUGAAUUAGCCAAAAGGUUAAAAAAGAGAUUGCAGGGGGAUAUACACAGAAGCUCCACAUUGUUUCUAAAAUGCUGAGCAACCCAAUGUUUUUAUACUUUCUAGUUUGUAGCAAAGCAUAUUUUACCUCUGUAUUUCAGUCUGACUUAGUACUAUGUUGUAUACAUUUUUGAGCCAUUCUUGAAUACGGCAUGGAAGUUUCUUAAUGACUUUUGCCCACUAUGAAUGACCUUUCUAAAUUAUUAAAGCUCUAGUGAUUUUUCUAGGGUACCACCUUAAGAAGUGCUUUGAAUUUGAGUUAUAUUUUUUGAAAUUUUCUUUCUUUUCACAGUGUUAAAUAUAUUCUUAUAUUCUUGGAUUUUUCUUCCUUGUAGAAUUGCAUGAAGAGAUCUUAUUUGCAUCUUCAAUUUAAGCAUUUCAAUGUGAAAAACUGAGCUUCACAUCUUUACUUAUGUAGAAUAAAUAAAUUUUACUCUUGCUACCGCUGAAUAAUUCUUUACCAAGAAAAGGCUGAGUAAAGGGAUUGUGUUUCUGACUUUUAUAAUGUUAUUGAGAACCUAAACUUUCACUUUAGUGAUAUAAUAACCAAUAGGCCAAUCUUUUUAAUUAGAUGAAGAUUCUUGAUAUUAAUGGAGAUAAACAGAUAUGAGCUGGCAAACUUUAAUCUUAAAGGAAUUUAAUCAAUUACUGUAUACAUAGUAACAGAGGUACAAAUGUAAGAUGAGCCAGUAUAAGUUAAUUCUUGACUUUGAAAACCUACCAACUUGUCCAAAGUGACAAAUUUAUAAUUCUCUAUUUACUUCUCUGAAAAUGAUGACAAUCUGGUAACUGUUUAAGAGACAAUAAUUUGAAGUAGUUAAAGUAUUAUAGAACAUCUAAUCUUUUUACCAAACUUAAUUUUCUUAAUUGUCUAUAGGGGAAAGAAAAGUUACUCAAAAUUGUAUUGCAAACAUGUAAGUAGUUAAUUAAUAAAGAAUUUACCACAGACAGUUUUCUAAAUAGAAUUACACAUUACACUAUAUAUCUUUCAAAAUUGAAGGGAUAGUAAGAAUUAAAAUGCUUAAGAGUUUGUCUUUAUAUUCCAAAUAGCUUGCAAUAUUUACUUAAAGUACACAGUGUUUCUUUUUAACCUUAUUUUCUCCAUGUAUUGUUCUUAGAAAGAACAAACUAACUAUGAAUAUAAACAAAAUUAUAAAACUGUGCAAAGG